UCUGCUACCGUGACUCUAUGCUGUACUCUUGACACAAAGUUCUCACGCUCAGAAAAUAAAGACUGUUUGAGUACAAUGAUUCCUCUCCUGCAUUGUGUCACAUGACAUGCACAUUCUUAAGGAAAUCACAAGCCUAAUAGUUUAAUGAAGCAAGUCUUAUGAAGACUUAAAAAGAAAGAGAGUUUUCUUAGAGCAAAGAAUGGAGCCUACCCAUGCGCAUCAUGGCCACCAUUGCUCCACUUGCAAUCACGAAUGUUGACUUGCAUGCCUACAUUUGGAUGUGCAUUGGCUCAUUUGACACCAAUGAACGCUUUCUCGGUGCAGGGCAGAAUCGUCGGAACCAAAAACUAAGCAUAAGUAUGUAGGCAAAAGUGCAGAAGUUCAGUUCAGAAAAAGUGAAAGACAUUGAGUUUAAAUCUUCUGCAUGAUUCAAUCCAUUAACAACCAUUCCUGAUCAAAUGUGAUUCGCUACUUGGUGCUAAAUAGAUGGUAAAUUUUUAUUUUUUGCUUGUCUCUAGUAAUAUACAUGUCUAAUCAUAUACCGUUGCAAAGUUUUACACGAGAGAAAGAGAGAGAGGGAGGGAGGGAGGGAGGGAGAGAGAGAGAGACUGAGAGUUCAGAUGAGAGGGGUUGCAUCUUGGAUCUAUACUCGGACUGAUGUUGCGGGGGAGAGACAGAUAACUCACCGGUGCUAUUGCAGGGGAAGGAACAAACAGCGCGGAGGAGCGCAGAGGCACGACCUCUCACCUAGGGACGCCAGCCAGGAGAGCUCACAAGUCAAGAUGGACUCUUUCGCUCGGGUUCAAGGUCGGGCGAGGGUGACACAGAAGUUGCCAUGACGCUGAUCGCAUCACUGGG
rnacentral:lncRNA from 1 species